CUGCAGAAGGAGCAGAAGGCAGUGGAUCAGCUGCAGGAGAAGCUGGUGGCCUUGGAGACAGGCAUCCAGAAGGAGAGGGACAAGGUAACCCACACCUGGCCCAGCUUAGUGCUGGGUACUAGUGGCCUGGGAGAGAAGGAGAAAUGUCUUCUCUGGGGCCCUGUACCCUUCACCUCAUCAUCCAUUCUGCAGUACAAGUGGUCUCUGUGGUUUUCCAGAGACAGGGUGACUUGUCCUCCUCUGUGGAAGGAACCAGCUUGGAGGGCACUGCCAGGGGCUGGGCUGGUGUCUGGGGUCUCCUCUGUCUGGGUCUGUGUGCUACCUCUGGGUGCCUGCCAUCCUAGGCCCUUUAUGGCCCUUCUAGGAAGUGCCAAAGCCCCUUCUUGGGCAGUGAGCACAGCCCAAGGGACUGACAUUGGGGAGUGAUUCAAGUUCGGGUCCCACCAUCUGGAGAACAUCUCCCUCCAAGCAUGCCACAAGUGCUUAUGUUGUGAUCUUUGGGAGAUGGCCCUCGGGCCUCUGCUUCCCUUGAGCCUUCAGGAUCUGCAGCCUCCCAUCCCAGGUGAUCCUAGCUCCUGCCCCUGCCCCUUUCAGAUUUCGUGCCAGCCUGCAGGGGCCACUCCCAGAUGCCCAACACCGUGCCAAAAGCUCUGAAGUGGAGAGGGGUCAUCUAUUUCUGGAUCUGACAGUAUUUUUCCAAUAAUUUAAUUUUCCUUCUGGAUUUUUUGAGUUUCUUCCUCCUGCCCUCAAUUUUGAGAAUCUUAAAAAUUCUUUGACCCUUUUUUUUUUUUUUUUUGGAGCUUUGGCUCUGGCCCCCAAAACCACACUCCCAAAUUCUGUGCCAAAUUAACUCCACGCUUGCUAACUAGGCCUACACUAACGUCCCUUCUAAUCACUGACUUGGGCUUUCCGCAUGCCCCUAACUGCCAGUGCCACCCAGGUAGGGCUGAGCCAUGCCCGCUUUUGCACUAACUCAAUGGGUGCCUCUGUGCCCCUGGCCUCUCCCCUCUAAUGCUGCCUCCUUCUUUUCUUGGUGUGGGACCCCAGAGUUUUUAUAUGAAAGGAAUUGGCAGGAGGAUUGGUAGCUCAACUUUACUCAAGGGGGCAUUGGCAGGAGGGGUAUGAGGGUGGGGGAAAUGCUUGGCUGUGGAGCUGCUCAGACUGAAGAGUUCUUUCCAUUGGAAAUGCCUAGGCUGCUGUCUUAGGCUACUGUCUGAGGACAGCAUGAGGUAACCCAAGGAAGCUUCCUGGCAGCUUCCUGCACAGCAGAGUAGGCUGUCUUCCACCUAUUCCCCUGCCUGCCCUCUGGAGCCAAGGAGUAAGGAGGCCCAGUUGUGGGCAUGGUCUUGGAGGGCUUGAACAGGACCUCUCUGCCAACAUAGUGGCUACCCUUCCUAGCUUUCCCUUGAGGCUUCCCAAAUUCAGAUACCCAUCAGAGGUUGGUAAUGGGUAGCCCCUACUCUUCUCCUCACUCCUGAGCCACCUAUAACACAGGGUAUUUUAAAGGCUGAGUCCAAGGAUGAGGAAGCACCUAGACCCCAGGAACUGGCCUGAUUAGGUCCUCCUCUCUGGGGAUGGGUAGAUGAGUUGGGUAGAGGGAUGGGAGUGACUGGGUUCAGCACAGGGCCUCACUCCCAGGGAUAAAGCUCAGCAUUUCAGAAGGAACCUGCCUAACCUCAUUUCCCACUGACCUGGAGUUUUUUGGAGGCCUAGACUUCGCUUUCUCUGUGGGGAAGAGAGGUUAUUCGAGGCUGUGGUAGUGAUGGUGGUGGUGGUGAUGGUGGUAGUGAUGGCAGUGGUGUGGAGGGUUCACUCGGCUUCCCUCCCCUGCCCUCAGCCCAUGGCUCCACUCUGGCUUUGGAAUCAGUAAUCACAGUUUCUCCUCUGCCUGUCCUUUGAGGGGUGACUCACCAAACCCUCCCCUCGUCCCCGUUCCCACCCUCAGAGGUGUCAUCUCACCCCAGACAGAACCGUCCACCCCCUCUGUACCCACUCCUGGGACUCACUACCAUGGAAACAGCCCGAACUAAUUGCACCCCUCAUCCCUGAAGUUCAGCCUGCAGGGCCAACACCCCACCCCGACCCUGGGCAGGAGGGGAGGGAGGCCAAGGGUGUUGGGUUGGGGUCCCCUCUGCCACACUGCUUUAACAUCCUCAGCUCCUGAUUGACGCCCAACCCUGGAUUUAACCCUCACCAUCACUACCCUUUUUCCCUGGGUUAAAUUUUGGUCUCUGGGCUGUAGUAGAAGGGGAGGGAUGAGAGCUGGAGGCUCUGUGAUGCAGAACCAGCCUUGACUGGUUUGGAGAGAAAACAGAGGGCCUUUUCUCGAGACCUACCCAACAAUUUCAGUUCAAGGGACUUCAGGAGACCAAAAUCUGUGCCCUGCCCCCACACCUCUGCCUGUGUUACCUCAUCCCCUGCACCUCUGACUGCCGUGUUACCUUCAGCUCCUGGCCUUGGGCCCUCUCCCUCUUCACCUCUUUCCCUCCUCACUUUCCCUUUCUGCCCUUUUCUUUCUCCUCACCUGGUUAUUCUCCUCUUUGAUUCCAGCCUUUUUUUCUCCUCUCUCAACCCCCAUUGCCGACCCCCAUUCUGUCCCGCCCUGGCCGCCCUCCCGCGCUCCCCUCCCGCCGCUGCCGGGCCGGAGUUGAGGAGUGUGUGUUCUGUUUCUCCCCUGUGCCCCGCCCUCUCCCUCGCCCUCCCGCCGACCAGGAGAGGGCGGAGCUGGCCGCGGGACGGAGGCACCUGGAGGCCCGCCAGGCGCUCUACGCCGAGCUCCAGACGCAGCUCGAUAACUGCCCCGAGUCAGUGCGGGAACAGUUACAGGAGCAGCUGAGAAGGGAGGCAGAGGCCCUGGAGACUGAGACAAAGCUCUUUGAGGACUUGGAGUUCCAGCAGUUGGAGCGGGAGAGCCGCGUGGAGGAGGAGCGCGAGCUGGCCGGCCAGGGGCUGCUCCGGAGCAAGGCUGAGCUGCUCCGCAGCAUCGCCAAGAGGAAGGAGCGCCUGGCCAUCCUGGACAGUCAGGCUGGGCAGAUCCGGGCUCAGGCCGUGCAGGAGUCAGAACGCCUGGCCCGGGACAAGAAUGCCUCCUUACAGCUGCUGCAAAAGGAGAAGGAGAAGCUGACUGUGCUGGAAAGGAGAUACCACUCACUCACAGGGGGCAGGCCUUUCCCGAAGACCACAUCGACCCUCAAAGAGGUUUACCGCUCCAAGAUGGAUGGCGAGGCCACCAGCCCCCUUCCCCAGACCCGCAGUGGCCCCCUCCCCUCCUCCUCUGGCUCUUCCUCCUCCUCCUCCCAGCUCAGCGUGGCUACCCUGGGGCGUAGCCCCUCCCCAAAG
rnacentral:sRNA from 1 species